UGAGUAACCUGCCCUUAACUCUGGGAUAAGCCUGGGAAACUGGGUCUAAUACCGGAUAUGACUCCUCAUCGCAUGGUGGGGGGUGGAAAGCUUUAUUGUGGUUUUGGAUGGACUCGCGGCCUAUCAGCUUGUUGGUGAGGUAAUGGCUCACCAAGGCGACGACGGGUAGCCGGCCUGAGAGGGUGACCGGCCACACUGGGACUGAGACACGGCCCAGACUCCGUACGGGAGGCAGNAGUAGGG
rnacentral:rRNA from 1 species